GACGAACGCUGGCGGCGUGCUUAACACAUGCAAGUCGAACGGAAAGGCCCUGCUUUUGUGGGGUGCUCGAGUGGCGAACGGGUGAGUAACACGUGAGUAACCUGCCCUUGACUUUGGGAUAACUUCAGGAAACUGGGGCUAAUACCGGAUAGGAGCUCCUGCUGCAUGGUGGGGGUUGGAAAGUUUCGGCGGUUGGGGAUGGACUCGCGGCUUAUCAGCUUGUUGGUGGGGUAGUGGCUUACCAAGGCUUUGACGGGUAGCCGGCCUGAGAGGGUGACCGGCCACAUUGGGACUGAGAUACGGCCCAGACUCCUACGGGAGGCAGCAGUGGGGAAUAUUGCACAAUGGGCGGAAGCCUGAUGCAGCAACGCCGAGUGCGGGAUGACGGCCUUCGGGUUGGAAACCGCUUUCGCCUGUGACGAAGCGUGAGUGACGGUAAUGGGUAAAGAAGCACCGGCUAACUACGU
rnacentral:rRNA from 1 species